rnacentral:rRNA from 1 species
ACGAACGCUGGCGGCGUGCUUAACACAUGCAAGUCGAACGGUAGAUCUCGGAGCUUGCUACCGGUGAUGCAGUGGCGAACGGGUGAGUAACACGUGAGUAACCUGCCCCUGGCUCAUGGGAAUAACCCCUGGAAACCGAUGGCUAAUACCGGAAUACGACCAGACAUGGGCAUCUGUACUGGUGGUGGAAAGUUUUCGGCGCGAGGGAUGGAGCUCGCGGCCUAUCAGCUUGUUGGUGAGGGUAACGGCUCACCAAGGGCGACGACGGGUAGCCGGCCUGAGAGGGCUGACCGGCCACACUGGGACUGAGACACGGCCCAGACUCCUACGGGAGGCAGGCAGUGGGGAAUAUUGCGACAAUGGGCGCAAGCCUGAUCCAGCAACGCCGCGUGAGGGAUGAAGGCCUUCGGGUUGUAAACCUCUUUCAGCAGGGACGAAGCGCAAGUGACGGUACCUGCAGAAGAAGGCACCGGCCUAACUACGUGCCAGCAGCCGCGGUAAUACGUAGGGUGCAGAGCGUUUGUCCGGAAUUAUUGGGCGUAAAGGAGCUCGUAGGCGGUCUGUCGCGUCUGGGAGUGAAAAUCCAGGGCUUAAACCCUGGAGCGCUGCUAUCGGGUACGGGGCAGACUAGAGUGCUGUAGGGGGAGAAUCGGAAUUCCUGGUGUAGCGGUGGAAAUGCGCAGAUAUCAGGAGGAACACCGGUGGCGAAGGCGGAUCUCUGGGCCAUUACCUGACGCUGAGGAGCGAAAGCAUGGGGAGCGAACAGGAUUAGAUACCCUGGUAGUCCAUGCCGUAAACGUUGGGCGCUAGGUGUGGGGCUCAUUCCACGAGUCUCCGUGCCGCAGCUAACGCAUUAAGCGCCCCGCCUGGGGAGUACGGCCGCAAGGCUAAAACUCAAAGGAAUUGACGGGGGCCCGCACAAGCGGCGGAGCAUGCUGAUUAAUUCGAUGCAACGCGAAGAACCUUACCUAGGGCUUUGACAUAUACAGGGUAAACCGCAUAGACGAUCUGGUCCCCAAUGUGAGUCGGUAAACAGGUGGUGCAUGGUUGUCGUCAGCUCGUGUCGUGAGAUGUUGGGUUAAGUCCCGCAACGAGCGCAACCCUCGUUCUAUGUUGCCAGCACGUAAUGGCUGGGGACUCAUAGGAGACUGCCGGGGUCAACUCGGAGGAAGGUGGGGAUGACGUCAAAGUCUUCAUGCCCCUUAUAUCCAUUGGGCUUCACGCAUGCUACAAUGGCCGGUACAAAGGGCUGCGAUAUCGCAAGAUGGAGCGAAUCCCAAAAAGACUGGUCUCAGUUCGGAUUGGGGUCUGCAACUCGACCCCAUGAAGUCGGAGUCGCUAGUAAUCGCAGAUCAGCAACGCUGCGGUGAAUACGUUCCCGGGCCUUGUACACACCGCCCGUCAAGUCAUCGAAAGUUCGGUAACACCCGAAGCCGGUGGCCCAACCCUCGUGGAGGGAGCCGUCGAAGGUGGGACUGGCGAUUGGACU